CUAAGCUCCAGUCAUCUGUCACCAACUGUCACUAACUGUCACCUACGAGUCACUGAUUACAAAGUGACAGAUCGAUCACAAAAUUGCAGAGUAUUUGCACAAAAUGGUUUUAAAAUGGAUAUUCUCGUACGUCGUGCUGGUCGUUGCAAUACUGAAGUACCACGAGGCGUUGAGCUGGUCGUGUCUGCUGCAGUUUGAAGGUCGUCUCCGCGCGCUGGUGGAUGAGCUGGCUCCGCGCUGUAGACCCUGCGAAUUCCCCAGGGAACUCAUCAAUGCGGCAUGUCAACAAAAAUCAGAGAAUAUGAUGAAAAUUACAGGAACACUGGUACAUAGUUCGCCGGGAGAGCACCGCCACUCAUUGCAUUGACAAUACAAUUCUGUCUUCACUCGGAGACUGCGUCGCGUCGUGCUGCAGUCGUACUUAUUACAAUGUCACACAUUUAAUCGGCACCCGUCUUGUAGUACCAUUGUGACAUACGAGUACUCCACAUGGCUUACAGAGUAAUUAAUUUGCAAUUCACAUUAUCAAUAAAAUAUACUUAAUGUUAUCUA